GUCGUGAGAUGUUGGGUUAAGUCCCGCAACGAGCGCAACCCUUGUCAUUAGUUGCCAUCAUUUAGUUGGGCACUCUAAUGAGACUGCCGGUGACAAACCGGAGGAAGGUGGGGGAUGACGUCAAGUCCUCAUGGCCCUUAUGGGUAGGGGCUUCACACGUCAUACAAUGGUCGGUACAGAGGGUUGCCAAGCCGCGAGGUGGAGCCAAUCCCUUAAAGCCGAUCGUAGUCCGGAUCGUAGUCUGCAACUCGACUACGUGAAGUCGGAAUCGCUAGUAAUCGCAGAUCAGCAUGCUGCGGUGAAUACGUUCCCGGGUCUU
rnacentral:rRNA from 1 species